GACGAACGCUGGCGGCGUGCUUAACACAUGCAAGUCGAGCGGAGCGGCGAACGGGUGAGUAACGCGUGAGUAAUUGCCCCCCUCUCUGGGAUAACAGUUGGAAACGGCUGCUAAUACCGGAUAGUGGGGGAUGACUCGCGUCCUAUCAGCUUGUUGGAGGGGUAGUGGCCGACCAAGGCGACGACGGGUCGCCGGCCUGAGAGGGCGACCGGGCACAUUGGGCUGAGAGACGGGCCAAAGUCCUACGGGAGGCAGCGGUGGGGAUCAGUCGGCAAAGGGGGGAACCCGGAAGCAGGAACGCCGGGUGGGGGAUGACGGUCUUCGGGUUGUAAACCGCUUUCAGCCAAUACGCGGUAGUGGCAGAAGAAGCACCGGCUAACUACGUGCCAGCAGCCGCGGUAAUAC
rnacentral:rRNA from 1 species